CUUAGGAACGUCGUGCGCCGCUUUUCAGGCUGUCGUUCCUCGAUUUUCGUUCCCUGGCCAACGUUCUAAGCCGCAUGCGUCGCGGCGCCUCGCCAACACGAAAAUUCAAAGCUAAUCCGUACCUUCUAAUAACGUUUCGAACGGCGAACGCUGCUGUUUAGCUUGAUCGUGCCGCGCCAUACUGUUGUCCGAUCUUUCAUCCGCGAUAAAUCAGAGAAACGACGAACAACUAUCAAGAAUCAAGAGAGAAUUUCCUCGAGAAAAUCGAUUCAAUCACGGCGAUCUUCGAUUUUCCUCGGAUAGGUGUCUUCGGAGGUGUUAAAAAAAUAUACACCGUCGUUCAUUGAUUUGGUGUUUUCUGUGAGGAAUUUUUCAAAAAGUGGAUCCUACGGUUGGUGUUGUAAAAAUAUCUCCACGAACUGUUUUACUACGGCGAUGCUGGGUUACAUUGAGCCGAGUCACAUGUCCGCAUAUGGAUUGCAUCACGUGGACCCAGUUACUUCCGGUUCUUACCGCCCAUGGCGGUCUUUCAUCGAUUUUGAUGAACCUAGAGUUUCGGUUGAAAAUGUUCGAGGGUGACGUUCCGGAAUAGGGAAGCUUUGAAAAAUUCAUUUAUUAUGCGCGUAGAUAGGGAAUUUGUAUAAUUAUUUAGGAACAUCGAGGAGAUUUCAUAAUUAUGACUAAUACUGAAAACUUGUAUCUAAUUUCGCAUUAGUCAGACGCGUCGUGCAACCUGUUUUAUAAAUGUCUGUCUGGUUUUCAAAUAUACCGUGGUAAUCGCUCGAGUUAGACGUGGUUCGCUAUUAGCAACGAUGAUGUCAUUGUAUGAAAAGAAGCGAGCACCAUGCACGACACUUGACAUUGACAUCACGAACCUUUCCUCUACUCGGAAAUUCCACGUGGACAUCACUUCGGACACCUUUCGCUAAAUGACACCCAAAAAGAAAGAAUCUAGAAUCGAUAGCAGACAAUCUAGAUUUAUAGAAAAAUUCUAUCAAUUUUAAUUAGCAAAGAAGGAUUAAAAAUAAUUCAACUUGUUCCCUAA